AAGAGUGCAGAGAAGGAUAUUGUGAUGGACAGUGAAACAGACCAAACUCCCCUGGCCAUCAAGAAGUUAAUGCCCAAGCUCAGGCAUGAGCCCGCACCCUUCAGGAGAUACAGCAGAUUGGGUGCGUAGGAAAAGUGGCCAUUGUAGUGCCCAGCCAGAUAGCUGCCAAAUGAGCCACCUCUAUGCUAGUGAAGCCCCUUGCUGACCACGCCAGGCCCAUUGCAGAAGAGGGAGGCAUGAAAAAUUUUAACAUCCAGUCGGUCUUGAGGGUUGGAGUGUCUGGGGAGGUCAUCAAGAAGACAUGGUCACAGGUUGACCGGCAAGUUGGCCCCGGGCCAUGGGAGGCUCCUCCACCCUCUCCAUCUUUGAAACAUGCACCCUGCCUCCUGUUCCCAGAGCCGGCCCCCUCCAAAGAUGCUGCCUUGAGUAAGCAAGUGUUGUGGAGGCCAUCUGAGCUGUAUAAAUGAUGGAACCCUGUUAAGGUCUCUCUAUAAACGUUUGAGAUUAUGGCAAGUAGGUGCAGAGAUCUAGUGGUCUUGUGGCCACCUAGACAAGCCUCAUAAGUAAGUUCCCUUGUGCAUUAAACCUUCUGCCCACG